rnacentral:rRNA from 1 species
GUGGGGAAUAUUGGGCAAUGGGGGAAACCCUGACCCAGCGACGCCGCGUGAGGGAAGACGGCCUUCGGGUUGUAAACCUCUUUUGUACGGGAAGAAGGAAGUGACGGUACUGUACGAAUAAGUCCCGGCUAACUACGUGCCAGCAGCCGCGGUAAUACGUAGGGGACGAGCGUUGUCCGGAAUUACUGGGCGUAAAGGGCGCGCAGGCUGUGCUGCAAGUCAGCUGUGAAAUGUCUGGGCUUAACCCGGGCAUGCGGUUGAGACUGCAGUGCUGGAGUGCUGUAGAGGUAAGUGGAAUUCCCAGUGUAGCGGUGAAAUGCGUAGAUAUUGGGAAGAACACCGGUGGCGAAGGCGACUUGCUGGGCAGCAACUGACGCUGAGGCGCGAAAGCCAGGGGAGCAAACGGGAUUAGAUACCCUAGUAGUCC